ensembl:lncRNA
UGUUUUUGUCUUUGUCUCGGGCUGUUGGAGAACAAAGAAGCACUUCGUUGGAAACGAACAAGCCCAUUACCUGCAAUCUCACUCAGUGAUUAUCUGAAAGUGAGGUUGUCAUCUGCCUCUUUGAUGUAAACUAAUGGUCUUACCAGCUAGCCUAGCUUGCCCUGGUCGUCUCACUCACAUGCAAGCCUUGGGUUACGCUGUCCUACAGGCCUCCUGUACACACAGGGGUGGCGAUGCAGACGUCUGUAUCGGUCUGCUAAUACAGGACUAGUAGUUGACCAGUACACUAAUGGAGUUAUAUUGGAGUUAUAUUCCUGCCUUUCCAGGGAAUUUUUCCUAGCCACCGUGCUUCUACAUCUGCAUUGCUUGCUGUUUGGGGUUUUAGGCUGGGUUUCUGUACAGCACAUUAUGACAUCAGCUGAUGUAAAAAGGGC